GACGGGGGAUGCAAGCGUUAUCCGGAAUGAUUGGGCGUAAAGGGUCCGCAGGUGGCCCGGUCAGUCCGCUGUCAAAGCCUGGGGCUCAACCUUGGAGAGGCGGCGGAGACCACCGGGCUUGAGUCCGGUAGGGGCAGAGGGAAUUCCCGGUGGAGCGGUAGAAAUGCGUAGAGAUCGGGAGGAACACCAGUGGCGAAGGCGGCGACCUGGACGGACGACGUGACGCUG
rnacentral:rRNA from 1 species